rnacentral:rRNA from 1 species
UGAGGAAUAUUGGUCAAUGGCCGAAAGGCUGAACCAGCAACGCCGCGUGAGGGAUGAAGAUCUAAGGAUCGUAAACCUCUGUUAGGAGGGACGAAGAGUCCAUCGUGAACGAUGGAAUUUGACGGUACCUCCAGAGAAAGCCCCGGCUAACUCCGUG